CAGGAGACGAGGCCAUCAUAGGGCCUGUGCUGUGUGCCCAGGACCAGGCGAAGCAGACCUGGUCCCUGCCCCAUGGGAGCUCCUAACCAGCAGAAUGAAAGUCGGAUGGAGAGAUAAGCCAUGGCAAGCAGCCAGAAGCUGGAAGUCAAUGGAACCUGGAGGACAAAGGAGAAGAUGCUGCCAUGUGCAUUGCCAUGUACUGAAAAAGCCAAGGAGACCCAAAGAUUGCCAGCCGAAGAUACCAAUCCUGGGCAGAAGCAAGCUUUCUAGCCUCUGAAACCAUGGACCAAUAAAUUACUAUUGCUAGG